GGGCCUAACACAUGCAAGUCGAACGGCAGCGCGGGGAGCUCGCUCCCUGGCGGCGAGUGGCGGACGGGUGAGUAACGCGUAGGAAUCUGCCCAGUAGUGGGGGACAACUCCGGGAAACCGGGGCUAAUACCGCAUACGCCCUACGGGGGAAAGCGGGGGAUCUUCGGACCUCGCGCUAUUGGAUGAGCCUGCGUCGGAUUAGCUUGUUGGUGAGGUAACUGCUCACCAAGGCGACGAUCCGUAGCUGGUCUGAGAGGACGAUCAGCCACACUGGGACUGAGACACGGCCCAGACUCCUACGGGAGGCAGCAGUGGGGAAUAUUGGACAAUGGGCGAAAGCCUGAUCCAGCAAUGCCGCGUGUGUGAAGAAGGCCUUAGGGUUGUAAAGCACUUUCAGUAGGGAAGAAAAACGAGACGCUAAUAUCGUCUCGCCAUGACGUUACCUACAGAAGAAGCACCGGCUAACUCCGUGCCAGCAGCCGCGGUAAUACGGAGGGUGCGAGCGUUAAUCGGAAUUACUGGGCGUAAAGGGCGCGUAGGCGGCUUAGUCAGUCGGGUGUGAAGCCCCAGGCUUAACCUGGGAAUUGCAUUCGAUACUGCUGGGCUAGAGUGUGGUAGAGGAAAGCGGAAUUCCCGGUGUAGCGGUGAAAUGCGUAGAUAUCGGGAGGAACAUCAGUGGCGAAGGCGGCUUUCUGGACUA
rnacentral:rRNA from 1 species